rnacentral:rRNA from 1 species
UGAGGGAAUAUUUGGGUCAAUGGGCGCAAGCCUGAACCAGCCAAGUAGCGUGAGGGAAGACUGCCCUACGGGUUGUAAACCUCUUUUGUUUGGGAAUAAAGUGCGGGACGUGUCCCGCAUUGCAUGUACCAUUUGAAUAAGGACCGGCUAAUUCCGUGCCAGCAGCCGCGGUAAUGCGGAAGGUCCGGGCGUUAUCCGGAUUUAUUGGGUUUAAAGGGAGCGUAGGCGGACUAUCAAGUCAGUUGUGAAAGUCAUCGGCUCAACCGCUGAAUUGCAGUUGAAACUGGUAGUCUUGAGUGCACAUGAGGAUGGUGGAAUUCGUAGUGUAGCGGUGAAAUGCUUAGAUAUUACGAAGAACUCCGAUUGCGAAGGCAGCUAUCUGGGGUGCAACUGACGCUGAGGCUCGAAGGUGUGGGUAUCAAACAGGAUUAGAUACCCUGGUAGU